UACAGAGGGGGCAAGCGUUGUCCGGAAUUAUUGGGCGUAAAGAGCUCGUAGGCGGUCUGUCGCGUCUGCUGUGAAAACUCGGGGCUUAACCCCGGGCCUGCAGUGGGUACGGGCAGACUAGAGUGCGGUAGGGGAGACUGGAAUUCCUGGUGUAGCGGUGAAAUGCGCAGAUAUCAGGAGGAACACCGGUGGCGAAGGCGGGUCUCUGGGCCGAUACUGACGCUGAGGAGCGAAAGCGUGGGGAGCGAACAGG
rnacentral:rRNA from 1 species